UACGGAGGGUGCAAGCGUUAUCCGGAUUCACUGGGUUUAAAGGGUGCGUAGGUGGGCAGGUAAGUCAGCGGUGAAAUCCCCAAGCUUAACUUGGGAACUGCCAUUGAUACUAUCUGUCUUGAAUACCUUGGAGGUGAGCGGAAUAUGUCAUGUAGCGGUGAAAUGCUUAGAUAUGACAUAGAACACCAAUUGCGAAGGCAGCUCACUACACGGUAAUUGACACUGAGGCACGAAAGCGUGGGGAUCAAACAGG
rnacentral:rRNA from 1 species